GAGGCCUUAGCUUAAUUAAAGCGUCUGUUUUGCAAGUAGAAGAUGUAGGAUAGUGCCCUGUAGGCCUUA
rnacentral:tRNA from 1 species